rnacentral:rRNA from 1 species
AUACGUAGGGUGCGAGCGUUGUCCGGAAUUACUGGGCGUAAAGAGCUCGUAGGUGGUUUGUCGCGUCGUCUGUGAAAUUCCGGGGCUUAACUCCGGGCGUGCAGGCGAUACGGGCAUAACUUGAGUACUGUAGGGGAGACUGGAAUUCCUGGUGUAGCGGUGAAAUGCGCAGAUAUCAGGAGGAACACCGGUGGCGAAGGCGGGUCUCUGGGCAGUAACUGACGCUGAGGAGCGAAAGCAUGGGUAGCGAACAGGAUUAGAUUCCCUGGUAGUCCAUGCCGUAAACGGUGGGCGCUAGGUGUAGGGGUCUUCCACGACUUCUGUGCCGUAGCUAACGCAUUAAGCGCCCCGCCUGGGGAGUACGGCCGCAAGGCUAAAACUCAAAGGAAUUGACGGGG